GUGCCAGCCGCCGCGUUAAUACCGGCAGCUCGAGUGAUGGCCGAUGUUAUUGGGCCUAAAGCGUCCGUAGCCGGUCGCGCAAGUCCAUCGGGAAAUCCGCCAGCCCAACUGGCGGGCGUCCGGUGGAACCUGCACGACUUGGGACCGGAAGACCCGACGGGUACGUCCGGGGUAGGAGUGAAAUCCUGUAAUCCUGGACGGACCGCCGAUGGCGAAAGCACGUCGGGAAGACGGAUCCGACGGUGAGGGACGAAAGCCAGGGUCUCCAACCGGAUUAGAAACCCGAGUAGUCC
rnacentral:rRNA from 1 species